UGCCUGCCCUCGGGCUCUCUGGCCCUGGGAGUCAGUGGUUGUUCCUCCAGAGUUUCCCCAGAAGAGGAAGUGCCAGAGGAGGGGAAAGCAGAAAGAGGGACCGACUCGAUGGCAGCCCCUACACGGAGGGCCCCCUUCCUCCUCGGGUGACCCUGACGUCCUUCAUUCCUUCGUCAGAUAUUGACUGAGCCCUGCUCUGUGCUGCACCAACCAUGGCCAAGAGUGUGCAAGGCACAGAGCUGGGAGACGAAUACGACCUCUAGCCUACAUAUUGCCACAGGCCAGUGAAGGGAGUGAAGCAUCCCAUCAAGUGCCUGGUGCACAGCAGGCCCCUGAAAACUAUGGUGACACUCUAUACCUUGCUGAUGAUGCCUAAAGAGUCAAACUACCCAGAGGGGGUACCAUGCAGAGGGAGACCGCAAGCAGGUCCAUCCAUGUUGCUGCAAAUGAUGCAAAUGAGCAGGUUUCUUGAGAGACAAACCAUGGGAACUGGAGGAAGAGGAGGGUGCAGCCAUUUGUCAUUCAAACGGGCCUCCACUGGAUGCUGUUCCAGCAACUGAACCUGGCUUUAGAGCAGCCAGCCCUAUCCAGGGCUUUGAAAAGGACACCAGAAUGUUCUAGAAGCAAAGCUGUGACUCUGGGACUCCUCUCUCCUGGCAGCACCAUCAGCAAUCCCUGCCAUUUCCUGGGGGAUUUCAUCCCUUAUUAUUGCCUCCCAUCCUUGCUCAUUUGUGAGGAGAUGGUUAAGAGCUUGGGCGCUGGCAGCUGACACACUUGAAUUUGAAUUCCGGCUCUGCUACUUACUGAAGGGUGGCUUUGCACAUGCUCAACUACUCUGGCAUUUCAUCCUCUGCAAAGUGAUGGAGACAAGAGACAGGUCUGGAGGGGGAGAGGUUCAAAGAGGAACAUUCAUGAAAGUUCUCACACAGCUCCUGUCAUGCGGUGUGCCCUCAAUAAAAGAGAUUGAUUAUU